GAGGGGCAAACUAGUCAAUUCUCACUAUUAAUUAAUCAUGGUUAAGUAGUUUAACUGUGGUUAAAUAAAUUUCUCUAACAGACUCUAACAGCAGGGACAUAUUUGCAUAACAUUACACUUUUGCAGGGACAACUUAUGGAGUUUCCAAUUUGCAGGGAUAUUUCUGCAAUUCACUAUGUUUGCAGGGACCUGUAUGCAAAUAAGUGCUUUUACUUUUUACCUUUUCAAAUAUACCCUUCUAUCAGCACUAACUUUUCUUAUUUGCCUUUAAGUUAAGGACAAAAGAGGUUUUUGAUUUUUUUUUUAAACUCUAGUGAAAAUUUAAUUCGGAUUUAAUUGAAAAAAUUUGACAGGU
rnacentral:lncRNA from 1 species